AACACUGCCUGGUUAAUUAAUCCGUUGGGUGAGUUAGGAAUCUUUAAGUUGAGUCAGCUGCAGUGACAGGUU